rnacentral:rRNA from 1 species
GGAACUUAGCAGAGAUGCUUUGGUGCCUUCGGGAACCGUGAGACAGGUGCUGCAUGGCUGUCGUCAGCUCGUGUUGUGAAAUGUUGGGUUAAGUCCCGCAACGAGCGCAACCCUUAUCCUUUGUUGCCAGCGGUCCGGCCGGGAACUCAAAGGAGACUGCCAGUGAUAAACUGGAGGAAGGUGGGGAUGACGUCAAGUCAUCAUGGCCCUUACGAGUAGGGCUACACACGUGCUACAAUGGCAUAUACAAAGAGAAGCGACCUCGCGAGAGCAAGCGGACCUCAUAAAGUAUGUCGUAGUCCGGAUUGGAGUCUGCAACUCGACUCCAUGAAGUCGGAAUCGCUAGUAAUCGUGGAUCAGAAUGCCACGGUGAAUACGUUCCCGGGCCUUGUACACACCGCCCGUCACACCAUGGGAGUGGGUUGCAAAAGAAGUAGGUAGCUUAACCUUCGGGAGGGCGCUUACCACUUUGUGAUUCAUGACUGGGGUGAAGUCGUAACAAGGUAACCGUAGGGGAACCUGCGGUUGGAUCACCUCCUUA